GAAAUGCGAUAAGUAGUGUGAAUUGCAGAAUUCAGUGAAUCAUUGAAUCUUUGAACGCACAUUGCGCCCCUUGGUAUUCCAUGGGGCAUGCCUGUUCGAGCGUCAUUUGUACCCUCAAGCUCUGCUUGGUGUUGGGUGUUUGUCCCCGUCUCCGCGCGUGGACUCGCCCCAAAGUGAUUGGCAGCCGGCGUACUGGUCCCGGAGCGCAGCACAUGUCGCGCAAACGAGUGCCUUGGUACGGCGGCGUCCAUAAGCCCCUCUCUCACGCUCUUGACCUCGGAUCAGGUAGGGAUACCCGCUGAACUUAAGC
rnacentral:misc_RNA from 1 species